AGAGUUUGAUCCUGGCUCAGGAUGAACGCUAGCUACAGGCUUAACACAUGCAAGUCGAGGGGAAACGACAUCGAAAGCUUGCUUUUGAUGGGCGUCGACCGGCGCACGGGUGAGUAACGCGUAUCCAACCUGCCCACCACUUGGGGAUAACCUUGCGAAAGUAAGACUAAUACCCAAUGAUAUCUCUAGAAGACAUCUGAAAGAGAUUAAAGAUUUAUCGGUGAUGGAUGGGGAUGCGUCUGAUUAGCUUGUUGGCGGGUAACGCCACCAAGGCGACGAUCAGUAGGGGUUCUGAGAGGAAGGUCCCCCANAUUGGAACUGAGACACGGUCCAAACGUCCUACGGGAGGCA
rnacentral:rRNA from 1 species